rnacentral:lncRNA from 1 species
AUACCAGGUGCCAAACUUCAUUAUCCACCCCACCACCUUGCCCGGGAGGGAGAUCUGUGAAAGCGAAACGUGAUUUAAGCUGGGAUCUGGCAGCAACUUCGUGGACUCUGAAGGGCACGUGGGAAAGGAGUUUUGAUUGAAGGUGAGGGAUUUAGUGAGGUAAAAUUAUAUCCAAAUUAGAGUUUGGUAAAGGCUUCCAGGUUAAUGUCCUGUUAACGCUUAUCCUGAUUUGUGGAGGACACUUAAGCUGUCUAGGCCUAACCUUGUGUUUGAUCACUCACCUUAAUUUGUAGACAUUCUAGGAGCUCUUUGUCAAUGCCUCUUACCAUUUUUAUCAUUAACUAUUUAUGCUUAUAGAAGCAGGAAAAAUAAAUUGUGGGAGCCUUCAUCUGCAAUAGGUUUACAACUUUUUUUCUAAAAUCUUGAGGCAAGGAGACUUAUUCCCCCGCCCCUUUUUUUCUCACAGAUUUCUUGUAUGUCUCCCUCGCCCCGCCCGCACCCCGUCCCCCCGCCCCCGGACAAUUAAUUGUAGGAGGAAACAAGAACUAAGAUGUCUAUUCGAGUGAUUUUUUAUAUCUUUCUUAAGGAGAAAAAGACUGACAUUUGACACUGUGCUCUUGUUUUGUCUUGCUGAUAAUAACUGACAGCAAUGUUUACUUUUCUUACAAAUGAAACUAUCAGGGUACGUACUUUUAAGCUCUUUAAUACAAUGGGUUUCAUCCUUCCAGUGGGAGAGUAUGAAUUGCCCACUCUGCGUAGACACAUGACUGCUGGCCUGUUGGACACAUGGUCACACUUGCUAUACUCUAAAUAGUGUCUUUGUGACCUGAAACAGUCAACACUUUUCUUAAAGCUACAGUGUGCCCACACUCAUUGUAUUUUUGCUUUGUAUGGAAUUUCAAAUUUACUUAUUACCUUCUCUAUGAAUAAUAGCAUAACUUAUGCAUUCCAUUUAUGCCUUUCAGGGAACCUGAUGGUUAAUUUCUACCUCUUAAAGUAACACAUUAUGUUGUAAGAUUUUGCUCUUAAUAUAGCAGUCCCCCUUAUCCUUGGUUUCACUUUCCAAGAUUUUGUCAACCAUGGCCCAAAAAUGUUACAUCACUACUCUUGCAUUUGGGGGGUAUUAUUACAUAAAAUGAUAGUUAUAUGAACACAAGCACUGUCACACUGCAACAGUCUGACAACCCAGACAGCAACUGGCUAAUGGCAAUCUGGGCAGGGACAGAGCAGACUGUGCUCCUCAGAAUGGUGCACAAUUUAAAACUUAUGAAUCGUUUAUUUCUGGAAUUUGCUAUUUAUGUCACAAUACUUAUGUCAUUCACCUCACUUCAUCUCAUCAUGUAGGUAUUUUAUCAUCUCACAUCACAAGAAGGAGAAGGGUGAGUUCAGUACACUAAGAUGCUUUGAGAGGGAGACCAUACAUAACUUUUAUUACAGUACACUCUUAAAAUUGUUUUAUUUUAUUAUUAUUAUUUUUUGAGACAGAGCUUCUUGUCUCCCAACCAGGACUAUAAUGGCACAAUCUCAGUUCACUGCAACCUCCGCCUCCAGGUUUCAAGUGAUUCUUCUGCCUCAGCCUCCCGAGUAGCUGGGAUUACAGGUGCCCGCCACCACGCCUGGCUAAUUUUUGUAUUUUUAGUAGAGGUAGGGUUUUGCUGUGUUGGCCAGGCUGGUCUCGAACUCCUGACCCCAGGUGAUCUGCCCACCUCGGCCUCCCAAAGUGCUGGGAUUACAGGCAUGAGCCAUGGCGCCCAGCCUGUUCUAUUUUAUUAUUAUUGUUGUUAAUAUCUUACUGUGCCUAAUUUAUAAGUGAAACUUUAUCAUAGGUAUGUAUGUAUAGGAAAAAACAUAGUGCAUUUAGAGUUCAAUACUAAGGUUUCAGGCAUCCACUGAGUGUCUUGGAACACAUCCACCAGGCAUAAGGGGGUGGGGGUGACUACUAUACUUAGGUAAGAUUUAUUUGGAGAGUGCUUAAUAAAAAUUAUGAAUUUCUUGCAUACCUAUUUUGUGUCAGGUCCUGAGAAAGAUAAUCAGGAAUUGGUGUCAAUCUGCCAUCUUUUCUUUAUUCACCCUGAUCCUGCUUCAGAUGUUGUCUCCAUCCUUAACUGACUUGUGUUUUGUUUAUUCUUGAUGUAUUAGUUUGCUAGGGCUGCCAUAACAGACUGAAUGGCUUAAACAACAGAAAGUUGUCAAGCAUGAUGGCUUGCACCUAUAAGCCCAGCUACUGGUGGUGGGGAGAGGAUCACUUGAGCCCAGGAGUUCAAGACUGCAGUGAGCUAUGAUCGUGCCACUGCAUUCAGACAACAGAGUAAGACCUUGUUUCUAAAAAAACAAAAACAAAAACCCUCCAGAAAUUUGUCUUACAGUUCGGAAGGCUAGAAGUCUGAGAUCAAGGUAUUGUCAGGGCCCUAUUCCCUCUGAAGGCUCUAGGCCACUCUCCUAACUUCUGGUAGUUCCUUGGCUUGUCAACAUAACUCCAGUUUUCACAUGUUCUCCCUGUCUGGGUAUCUGUUGUUCAGAUUUCCCCUUUUUCUGUGGACACCAGGGUUAAUUGAAUUAGGGGCCCACCCUACUCCAGUAUGACAUCAUUUUAACUAAACCUGCAACUACUGUGUUUCCAAAUAAGGUCAUAUUUUGAGAUACUGGGGGUUAGGACUUUAACAUACAAAUGUUGAGGGAACACAGCUCAACUCAUAAAACCUUAGUUCAUUUUUUAAGUGUGGUCCACUGAACACAUUCUUUGGAAUCACCUGUGUAUUCUUCCUAGAAAUGCAGGUCCUUAUGUGUCCACAAUUGGGGGGUUCUUGGUCUCACUGACUUCAAGAAUGAAGCCAUGGACCCUAGCGGUGAGUGUUACAGUUCUUAAAGGCAGCGUGUCCGGAGUUUGUUCCUUCUGACGUUCAGACUUGUUCGGAGUUUCUUCCUUCUGGUGCAUUCAUGGUCUCAUUGGCUUCAGGAGUGAAGCUGCAGACCUUCGCGGUGAGUGUUACAGCUCUUAAAGGCAGUGUGGACCCAAAGAGUGAGCAGCAGCAAGAUUUAUUACAAUGAGUGAAAGAACAAAACCUCCACAGGAUCAAAGGGGACCCCAGCGGGUUGCCACUGCUGGCUGGGCAGCCUGCUUUUAUUCUCUUGUCUGGCCCCACCCACAUCCUGCUGAUUGGUCCAUUUUACAGAGAGCCGAUUGGUCCAUUUUACAAAGAGCUGAUUGGUCCGUUUUGACAGGAUGCUGAUUGGUGCGUUUACAAUCCCUGAUCUAGACACAAAAGUUCUCCACGUCACCACUAGAUUAGCUAGAUACAGAGUGUCCACACAAAGGUUCUCCAAGUCCCCACCAGAGUAGCCAGAUACAGAGUGUCCAUUGGUGCAUUCACAAACCCUGAGCUAGACACAGGGUACUGAUUGGUGUAUUUACAAACCUUGAGCUAGAUACAGAGUGCCCAUUGGUGUAUUUACAAUCCCUUGGCUAGACAUAAAGGUUCUCUAAGUCCCCACCAGACUCAGGAGCCCAGCUGGCUUCACCCAGUGGAUCCUGCACAGGGGCACAGGUGGAGCUGCUUGUCAGUCCCACCCCGUUCACCCGCACUCCUCAGCCCUUGGGUGGUCGAUGGGACUGGGCGCCGUGGAGCAGGGGGCGGCGCUCGUGGGGGAGGCUCGGGCUGCUCAGGAGCCCACGGUUGGGCGGCGGAGGCUCAGGCAUGGCGGGCUGCAGUUCCCGAGCCCUGCCCCGCGGGGAUGCAGCUAAGGCCCAGCGAGAAGUCGAGCACAGCAGCUGCUGGCCCAGGUGCUAAGCCCCUCACUGCCCAGGGCCGGCAGGGAUGGCGGGGCGGCUGGCUGCUCUGAGUGCGGGACACGCCGAACCCAUGCCCACCCGGAACUCGCGCUGGCCCUCAAGCGCCAUGGGCAGCCCUGGUUCCCACCCGCGUCUCUCCCUCCACACCUCCCCGCAAGCUGAGGGAGCUGGCUCUGGCCUUGGCCAGCCCAGAAAGAGGCUCCCACAGUGCAACCGCGGGCUGAAGGGCUCCUCAAGUGCCGCCAAAGUGGGAGCCCAGGCAGAGGAGGCACUGAGAGCGAGCGAGGGCUGUGAGGACUGCCAGCAUGCUGUCACCUCUCACUUAGGCUUUACCCUAGACUAAUGAUUUUCAAAGGAAGAGAGUGGUUUUCCCCUGGGGAAUAUUUGGCAAUCCCUGGAAACAUGACUGGGGGAGACGUACUACAGGUAUCUAGUGGACCUGGAAUGCUGUUGAACAUCCUACAAAGCACAGGACACUGUCCCACAGCAAAAAAUGAUUCCACCUGAAAUGUCAGUCGUGCCAAGAUUGAGAAACCCUGUCCUAAAAUUGGUAAGUCUAGUCUCUAGGAAAGUGGCCUGGAAACCUACAUUCUGACAAACACCAUAGCAUCUUGUACCUCUACUAAAGCCUGAAAACCACUGCAAACGCAAAAGCAUUUUCUAGGCGUAUGAACAUGCUCCAUUUCUCCUCGGAUAUUAGUUAUCUCUCUUAUUUAUUAACCAUGCUAAUUAUGAUAAGCUGAUUUUAUUCAAUACUGCUACUUAGCAAUUCAGUUUACCAGUCAUAGUCUUAAUUUAAGUUGGAAUCUUAUUUACAUUUUAAAACUUCUGUGCCACAUUACAUUAUUUUUGAUCAACUGUCUGCAUUUUCUGGGUGUCAUUUGCCUAAUGAAAAGCUGUUGCCAAUUUGUGACUUGGCAAAAAAGCAAUGCUUUGCCUGCCUCCUCCAGUCUGCUAGCUUCUCCUGUACUCUAAGUGACUGACUCUUCUGUCGUAUAUUUCUUUCAUCCCUUGCAGUCAGUGCUACUGUUCUCAAUUUCUUUCUCUUCUUUCCUUUUGGCACUUGAAAAUAUUGUUCGGGUAUAUUAAUGGUGUCUUAAGAGCCAAAACAAGAAAAUGGUAGUGUCAUAAAAGUCACAAGAAGCCUAGGGAAAAAUCUUGAAACGCCCAUACUUACUUCCACUAAAGUAGGUCAUUGGAAAUUGUGUUACAAUGUAUAAUAAAUUGAGAACUUGAUGCCUCUGUAAAAAAAAAAAAAAAAAGGCUUUUAAAAUUAGUAUUCCCUUUCAGAGAAAAUCUUCCAUUUUCCAGAUAAGGCUUCCAUAAAUACCUCAUCAGAAUAAGGCAAACUGUGAUUAUUACAAAAAAAAAUAAAAUUCAAGGAUUUGGGCAAGGUGGUGCCUGCCUGUGUAACCCCAGCUACUAGGGAUGCUGAGGCAGGAGGAUCUCUUGAGCCCAGGAAUUCAAGACCAGCCUGGGCAACAUAGUGAGUGAGACCCCCUUUCUAAAAAAUAAAAAAUCCAAGGGUUAUAAUUCUCCAAAUACAUGCCUCAGAAUACUUCGGUCUUGAAUUAUUCCUGUCGGCUAUUACAUUAUCCAAGCAAACUUUUACUAAUAACUUUUUGCUAGUUUUCUAAAGUAAUUACUGUUAAAGUUUUUGAGAACAAUUCUAGCCUCCUCAUCCAACAACCAGGAUUCCCUAAUAGUUGCUCUUUCUUUCAACAGUUUCUUAGGAAUUAAAACUUCUUAUGUCAUUCAAGCAUGUAUCCUGUAACACUGUAUAACCUUCAAGCCUGCUCCAUCUUUGGAAAUGUCAUAUUCAGCUGUGAACUCUGAUGUAUAGCCUAGGCUUCAAUCAAAAAACCUUAUUUUUUAAUCAACUUGAUUGCUGAGAAUGAGCAAGGCAUGGAAUAAGCAGCCUUUAUACUAAGCUGAGUUUUUAAUGUAAUCACUAAAUUAAAUGUAUAAACAAAAGUGUGGUAACAUAUAGCACAAUCUAUACAAUUCAGAAAGAGAUCUUUUGUUGUGAUCGCAUUCAAAACUGGAUACCUGGUGAAUGAAAGUUACCCAAUAUAAUUCAGUUGGACUCUUCAGGAAGUAGUGCUGCAGGAAAUAAAAACAAAAAGAAUAAUAAUUCAAUUGGACUAGCUAGCCAACUGUUGCCUGUGUAAACUGAUCACUCAACAUGAAGUCAAGAGACUACUUCAAUGAAAAAAACCAGAAAGAACAGAGCUGUUGGGUUGUAAACAUGAGUUCUCCUUUCUUGUAUUCUUAUUGUCUAAAGAUGAGCAGAGUAAAGUACAAGGAGAAAAUGAUGUUUUGCAAGAGUUGAGUGAACUGGACUUUCUUUUUUUUUUUUUUUGAGACAGGGUCUCAUUCCAGUCACCUAGGCUAGAGUGCAGUGGCACAAUCACAGUUCACUGCAGCCUUGACUUCCCUGUAGCUGGGACUACAGGCGCGUGCCACCAUCCCCUGCUAAGUUUUGUAUUUUUUCUAGAGACAGGGUUCUGCCAUGUUGCCCUUGAACUCCUGAGCUCAAGCAAUCUACACACCUUGGCCUGUCAAAGUGCCUGGAUUAUAGGCGUGAGCCAGGGCACCCGGCCUGAAUUAGACUUUCUAACUAUGAAAGAAAGUCACAAAGCUGUUAGCUAGAGGUUCCUGCCCCUUGAAAAUAAUUCCUCCCUGCUGUACUACUCCAAAAUCGGUGCCAUUGGGGAACGAAUUAUUGAAUGAAAUGUUUUCUUUCUCAACCAUCUCCAAUAUCUUACUAAAAAGAAAAAUGUGAAAGGAAAACUAUUGUGGCAAGAUAUUCUACCAACAGGCCUUAUUGGGUCACUAUGCCUGAGUCACCCUUGUCCCACAAUAGCACUUCUCUGUUCUCAAUACCUUGCUCCUGUCCUUUUAGACCCAGUUAGUACCUUUUCAUUUCCAAGAAGUGGGCUGGUAUAAUUGAAAGAAUGCUAGACUUGAGGCCUAGUCUCAAAUCUUGGCUCUGUUACUCAACUACCUAAGUCAGAUCUCUUGUCUUCUUGGUGAUUGUUUUCUAAUAUUUAAAAUGGGAGCAAUAAAACUUAUCUCACAGAAAUAAAGUUGGUGCAAAUGUUUACUUCUAAUGGCCAAAACUGCAAUUACUUUUGCACCAACCUAUAUAUGUACUUGACAUAUAGUGUUAUGAGUAUUUGUUUACUUAUUUAUUUUAAGGCUUCCUCCAAUUACUCCAGCAUAUAUAGCUUUUCUUCCAAAUCUACGAACCCUGACAUAUCAUUAGUAACAUUUAUUUGAUACUUAAUCCAACGCAGGGUACUUUUAUACUUACAAAUUUAAGAAUUAAGUGAGGCUGGGUGCAGUGGUACACGCCUGUAAUCCCAGCAUUUUGGGAGGCCAAGAUGGGAGGAUCAUGAGGUCAGGAGAUCGAGACCAUCCUGGCUAACACGGUGAAACCCCGUCUCUACCAAAAAUACAAAAAUUAGCUGGGCAUGGUGGCACAUUCUUAUAGCCCCAGCUACUUGGGAGGCUGAGGCAGGAGAAUCAUUUGAACCCGGGAAGCAGAGGUUGCAGUGAGCCGAGAUCAUGCCACUGCACUCCAGCCUGGGCUACAGAGGGGAAAAAAAAAAAAAAGAAUUAAGUGAUUACGAUCUUUGAGUACAUGGAAGCAGUCCAGACUCCUAAGUGGGCUGUGCCUCUGACCUCAGAAGUGUUGAAUGAAUUCAUGUCCUAAUCAUCUGUGCCUCUUGUAGCUCUCUCUGUUAAUAGGAAACUACUGUGGGAAUGGAAAGGGAAACGUAUUUUGCUUUGUGGUCUGUGGGGAUAAAGACCAUGGUUCAUUUUGCAUCUAGCUGUAAUUUCUAUCCCAGUGUUUUUGCACAUAAUUUUUGUCUUCUAAAAAAAUAGAUGAAUUGAACUUUUAGAAGUGAUUUUCUUUUUAAUUUUUUUUUUUUUUUGAGACAGAGUCUCGCUCUUUCACCAUGCUGGAGUGCAGUGGCGUGAUCUCGGCUCACUGCAACCUCUGCCUCCCAGGUUCAAGCUAUUCUCCUGCCUCAACCUCCCGAGUAGCUGGGACUACAGGCACCUGCCACCACGCCCAGCUAAUUUUUGUAUUUUUAGUAGAGACAGGGUUUCCCCAUGUUGGCCAGGAUGGUCUCGAUCCCCUGACCUCGUGAUCCACCCGCUUUGGCCUCCCAAAGUGCUGGGAUUAUAGGCGUCCACCACCGUGCCCAGCCUAGAAGUGAUUUUCUUUAUGUCAAUUGAAUAGGAAAUUUCCUUUUCUGCAAAGAACUAAUAUUUUCUUUGCUUUUAAGAGGAUCCUGUAAAUUUUAAAAUGCUUUCUUCAAGAACUUAUAGUGUCUUAAAUGAUUUAAGAUCUACUGAAUCAUACAACUUUUAUUAGUUUUACUCUAUCUGGAAUGAAUUUAUGGAUGUCCAAUUUGCAUGUUAAAUAUAAAUGAAAGAGAAAUAUCUUUUAGUUUAUAUACAUUUUUUAAAGGUACCAGAUUGUCUACUGGGAAAUUGGCUUCAUUAAUUGACCACAUUGUCACUACUGUAUAUAGAAAUUUCUAGAUAAUCUCUUAUUGGUCUCACCAAGUUUAAAGCAUGAUGCCCCCUCACCCAAUGGAAUAGUAAUGUAGACAUGCCUUAGGGUCUAUAUCAGAAAAGCCAGUUACAUAUAGGUUAAGAAAAUCUUCAAAGAUAUCAAAGAACCAUGGUCAUUUCUUUGCCAUACUAUACCACUUUAUACUUAAAGUGGUAUAAAGAAUGAAAUUCAAGUUAUUGAAAGGUUAGGCAAGUCAGAAUGAAUUGAAAGCUUUUUAGAAUAUUUGUUUUACAAACAAAAGGGUAUAGUGCUUCCUAUGUUACUUCCAAAUGAGCUGAUAGGCUUAGAAAAAGUGUCUUGAAUUCAAGUUACCAUUUUAGACCAUGAGGUGACACACCAAGGAUGAUCCGAGAAGUGCCAUAGAACAAAUCUAGCUCCCAGUGACCUUUAAGCUGCCAUACAUGCUCUGGACUCCCAAACUCUAGACUUCCUCUAUGUGAAAAGGAAACAAACUUUGAUUUGUUUAAGUCAAAAAUGGAAAUGGAAAUAGCCAAUUUAGUGAUCUCUGUCACUUUUUAAAAGUAUCCUUUUUGUAUCCUAUUCUUUCUGUUCAAUUUAUUUCAUUUUAUAAUACAGUAGCUGUUUGUAUUUCCUUGAGUCCACACCGUGCAUUUGAAACUAGCAAAUUGCAAACAUAGGUUCAGUGCUAAAGACUGGUUACUCAUUCUAUCAAGUUUGCAGUAAGUUGUUUGUAGGUGACUCUGAUUAAAAGUCAAGACCACAUGCAAAGUCUACAAUCUCAAAUUUUGAACUUUGCAAUUUAGAAGGUUAAGCCCUACCCCACCUCUCUCUUAUCUGACCGUUAAUCUAGUGCCACAUCAUUUUUACUCUCCCAAAUGGCAUAUUGGCCUACUUGAUGGGCUAUAGCAAAUAUUUACUGAGUGUCUGUUUUGUGUAAAGCAUUGUGCUGAAUACCGUGAAGUUUACAGAUGUGUUGUGAAGUUUUGGAUUUUUUAGAAAGUAACCAGUUUAUUGAAUAGGGUAGAAUCUGUGGGGUACAAAUGGGGAGUGGGUUUAUUUUUUUCUGAUCUUCAAACAUUCGCUGAUAACUCUUUCAUUCUUGCCUUUUAGAUAAACCUUAAGAUCCCAAAAACUUUUAGUCCUUUUGGAUAUUUAAGGUUUAUUUUCAGAUAGUAAAAGUAAAACAAAUACAGUUAGGUCUAAAUCAAGACUUUAAUCUCACAUCUAAUUCAAAGUUUUCCCUGGCUUCCCUUACUUCCCAAGGCUCAGGAACCCACAGUGGGCAUGGGGAGUGUGAUCUUUUUCUGACUUUUACUUUACUCUUUACCACAUGGUAGUAAAUGGCAACUCCAUUUUAAUCUGUCUUCUUAAUUCCUGCCACUUUCUUUGCUGCUCAUUUCUUUCCAGUUCCAGUGUCUUUCUUUCCAUCCCAGAAUAUAUUAACCAUUUUCCAAGAACCUUUGGAUUUACUCUUCUUUCUGCUUAAAGCUUUUCCCUCCAGCUAGCGUGGCUUGCUCCCUCACUUUUAAGCCUCUGCUCAAAUGUCACUUUAUCAGCAAGCCCUUCCCUAACUACCCCGUCUCAGGUGGUACAUGCCCACAACCAUCAUUUCCUUAUUCUGCUUUAUUUUUCUCAUCUCACCAUCUGAUACAUUAUACUUCUGUUGGGAAGCUAGGUGUCUGUUUCACCUUCUGCAGGUGCCUUCCGUCUUUAUGAGGGAGGUUGGGAGAUAAUACACUGUAUUAGUCUGUUUUCAUAUAGCCAUAAAGAACUGCCCAAGUCUGGGUAAUUUAUAAAGGAAAGAGGUUUCAUUGACUCAUGGUUCAGCAUGGCUCGGGAGGCCUCAGGAAGCUUUCAAUCAUGGGAGAAGGUGAAGAAGAAGCAAGGCACUUUCUUCACAAGGUGGCAGGAAGGAGAAGUGUCGAGUGAAUCAGGAAGAGCCCCUUACGAAACCAUCAGAUCUUGUGAGAACUCACUAUCACAAGAACAGCAUGGGGGAAUCCGCCCCCAUGAUUCUGUUGCCCCAACCUAGUCUCUCCCUUGACAUGUGGGGAUUAUGGGAAUUACAAGUCAAGAUGAGAUUUGGGUGGGGACAAAAAGCCUAACCAUAUCUCCCUUCUCCCCUCUAUGAGAAGGGGUGAAAAAAGGCCAACACAUUCUUUACUCUUUUGAAUUCCUGUUCUCAUUGACUUUGGCAUAUAGAAUCUGGAGGUAAGAGUUUUAUAAAUACUAGACUGAUCUGGCUUUUUAUACUAAGUGGCAUGGAUGUGUCAGACACUUCUCUUUAAAAUAUGGGGAUAGUUGUCUCUUAUUUUCAGCUUUGAGACUUAGGCUAAAAUAUAAACAAAACAAAACUUCAUACAGCAUGCUGUUAAAUAAGAACCUUCUCACAAAUAAAGCUAGCAUGCUUUAAUUGUCACAAAGAGAACACUUGAAUUUGAGAUAACCAUGAUGAUGUGACAGAUGGCUCCAUGAAUUCAGGAUGUCUAAUUUUUAAGAACUAGGAUCUGAGGUAUUUACACAUCUGAAAAGCAAUAUAAAAUUUGUUAUGCAGUUACCAUGGUGGAAAUUUAUUUUUUCUGGCUGUCUAGCAUUCACUCCUCCUUCUGGGACUACAACCCUUUAGCCACAGUGAAUGUUCAUUAAUGGAUAUGUGACCAAAAUUGAUCCAAGUAGAAUGAAUCCUUGCAUAUUGACUGGACAGGAAUCUGGGAGAUAUAUGCCUGGUGUUGCUGGGGCCGUCACUUGGAGAGAAGCUGCCUUUGAGUAAAGAGGAAAGGGGUUGUAAGAUGAAGAGAGGCCAAGGCCAAGGUACGGUGACAUUGGGCCUGGAUCCAGUCAUGAAGUCAAUGCUUAGACUUAUACUUACAUACGUCAAUUAACUUCCUUUUUUUUUUUUUUUUAAGCCAGGUGACUUGGCUUUUCAUCACUUGUAACCCAAUAGUCCUGGCUUUUGUAAUGCAUCCCACUUCUCAACUUAAACCGUUGCCUGUGGUGCAUUGUCGUCAGAACUGCUAUGUUCUUGGCAUAUUUUCUCAAGAUGGAUUUAUUCCAGUGAGUGCUGAUAACUGAAAGAAUUUAUUAAUGUCCCAUUCUGGGAUCCUCCUGGCUACUGAGAACAAUAAAAAAUAUAGUUAAUUGUUUUGACAAAUUCACCAAUGUUAUGUUUGGAUGCAUAGUUAUGUUUGUGAUUCUGAAUUUUACUGUUCUAUAGAUGUGGCUAAAGAAAUCUUCUUAUUCCUUUUACAUAGCAAUCCAAAAUAGCAGGUUUGGCUAGGCACAGUGGCUCACACCUGUAAUACUAGCACUUUGGGAGGCUGAGGUUGGUGGAUCAUUUGAGGUCAGGAGUUUGAGACCAGCCUGACCAACAUAGUGAAACCCCGUCUCCACUAAAAAUAUAAAAAAAAUUAGCUGGGCAUGGUGACACAUGCCUGUAGUCCCAGCUACUCGGGAGGCAGAGGCAGAAGAAUCACUUGAACCCGGGAGAUGGAGGUUGGAGUGAGCCAAGAUCACGCAACUGCACUUCAGCCCGGGCAACAGAACGAGACUCUGUCUCAAAAAAAAAGCAGGUUUGCAUUAUUUAUUUAUUUAUUUAUUUAGAGACAGGGCCUGGCUCUGUUACCCAGGCUGGGGUGCAGUGGCAGAAUCUUGGCUCACUGCAUCCUCUACCACCCGGGCUCAAACCAUCUUCCACCUCAGCCUCCUGAGUAGCUGGGAUCACAGGUGCACACCACCAUGCCCAGCUAAUUUUUGUAUUUUUUUUAGAGAUGGGGUUUCAGCAUGUUGCCCAGGCUGGUUUCCAACUCAUGAACUCAAGUGAUCCACCUGCCUUGGCCUCCCAAACUGCUGGGAUUACGUGCCUAAGCCACUGUGCCCAGCCUACAUUAUUUUUAGUAAUCAUUUUCACUAGUCUUUAUAAAGUAUGUGACUAUCUUUAUUAAUGUUUUAUGUUCUGAUAUAUGUUAUAUACCUAACUAUAAAGGUAAUAAAAAUGUUUUCUUCUACAGAACCCAAAGUCCUUCAACAUUAAAAAGAAUGUGUUCCUCCUAGUGCCUGAAACAUAGUUCUCUAAUAAAAAGAGUUCUAAAG